rnacentral:rRNA from 1 species
CCUACGGGUGGCAGCAGUGGGGAAUAUUGCACAAUGGGGGAAACCCUGAUCCAGCGACGCCGCGUGAGUGAAGAAGUAUUUCGGUACGUAAAGCUCUAUCAGCAGGAAAGAAAAUGACGGUACCUGACUAAGAAGCCCCGGCUAACUACGUGCCAGCAGCCGCGGUAAUACGUAGGGGGCAAGCGUUAUCCGGAUUUACUGGGCGUAAAGGGAGCGUAGGCGGCCUGGCAAGUCUGGAGUGAAAUUCCGGGGCGCAACCCCGGAACUGCAGUGGAAACUGUCAAGCUGGAGUGCCGGAGAGGCAGGCGGAAUUCCUGGUGUAGCGGUGAAAUGCGUAGAUAUGAGGAGGAACACCGGUGGCGAAGGCGGCCUACUGGACUGUAACUGACGUUGAGGCUCGAAGGCGUGGGGAGCAAACAGGAUUAGAUACCCGUGUAGUC